AUACGGAGGGUGCAUGCGUUAUCCGGAAUCAUUGGGUUUAAAGGGUCCGUAGGCGGACUAUUAAGUCAGAGGUGAAAUCCCACAGCUCAACUGUGGAACUGCCUUUGAUACUGGUAGUCUUGAGUUAUAUGGAAGUAGAUAGAAUGUGUAGUGUAGCGGUGAAAUGCAUAGAUAUUACACAGAAUACCGAUUGCGAAGGCAGUCUACUACGUAUAUACUGACGCUAAGGGACGAAAGCGUGGGGAGCGAACAGGAUUAGAUACCCUAGUAGUCC
rnacentral:rRNA from 1 species